UAUGUUUACAUGCUGGUUGCUGAAAGUCUCCCAUACUUGUCGGGAGACUUGAGACAUGCAUCUCUUCGUCUAGUUAAAAAUGAAAACAUAAACAAAGUCUCAGCAACCGAAAUCGCAGUAAAGUUGCCGAGUGUGGACUAGGCUUAAAACCGGUCCGCUGAAAUGAGCAAAACCGGGCCGCGUAUACUCACUUAUUGGUGCGUUUGCUCUUACUGGCUUCAAAACAAAUAAAAAUGGCGCGUGUUUUGGUUUGGCUAGCGGAAACGAAGGAAUCUCUUAUUUGGCAAAUCCUCAAGUAAAAUGUAAGUUCAAAGCAAUUAUGUUUUCCAUAAACUAUUUUUAAUUGUUUCAAUUAUUUUUUUCAGUAAUAAAUAACCCUACAAUCCUGUGGUGCAGGAUUGAUGGUCCGGAAGGGAAAUUUGCCGGUCGAGACAUUCGCGGCAACAGCAGCACAUAAUCCAGACUUCCGUCGGAAAAAUCCCCCACACUGCCGUAAAAACAACGGAGCGGUUUAUGGGCCGCAUAGAAUGUUCGCAGCAGCUGUGACCGAAGGAAAUUUAAAAUGAUUAUUGUGUUUGGAAGAAACUCAGUAGCGGUACUGGAGAUAGCAUCGGCACCGGAUUUCCAAAUUUAAAGUGGUGGCUGCGAAUGGUUUUCCACGCUGCUGGACAUAUCCAAAGGUUUAUUGUGACUGAUAUGGUCCGUCGCAGGAGAUUUCACGUUCGAUCAGUGGCUGAUGCAAGGAGAAAUGCACAUCUUCAUCGAGCAGUACGUUCGUAUACUGAAUUCCUGGUAUGAAUGGAACAACUGCUCACGUAACUUCAUCUUUGCAAAAUCCUACCUCAUAAACGAUGAAAAUACGAAAGCGUUGGACCUGUUUCCCCAAUCGGCUAAGGGAUCCUAAAGGAACCGUAUUUAAUCAACUUCACUGAACCAACUGACGGAACUUUGGUGUCACCGGAUGAGCUGCCCAGUAUUUUUUACAUAAAAGUUAUCCGGUAGUACGAACACUACGGAGCCUACGAUUGCAUCAACGUGCUGGCUCAGAUCGCCUUUGGAACUUCGGUUCACAGCAAGCAACAGGCUAUGUUUCAAAGUAUCGAUUUCAGUGCCCACAUGGAGCUGGGACACUAUGAAGAAGGUACCAUUCGUUGGUGUACAACGGUACAACUGUGAGCAAACUCGGACUGCUUGAGGCAGCUGGUGUGGCGUUUGUUCCAGGCAAAAAAGUUCAACAUACUAAUCGAGCUGCCCUACUAUGGGGUGGAAACUGAGUUCCAGAACAUCAUGGAAAUACACGCUCUAUCCGUAGAAAAAUCCCAAAAUAGUCACUAGGACUUUCUGUAUUCGUUCUAGAUUCUCAAAGGAAAUAUGCAAAAGGCUGCUCUCUCAUUGUCUACGAAAAAGCCAUGCGUUGUCAGCUGGAGUGCUCGCAUUUUUGAAGAUGCGUUGCGAAGCGCUGCUCAAGUGCAUCAAUGCGCUCAAUCUAGCGGCAUCGGAUUACGCCUAGAUUGCGAAGCCAUCGGUUUCCACAUAUGGCGGUGCUGCCAGAUUGGAAGAAUCGGACACCAAAAUCGUGGUUGUUGAUCUGGUAGAUGUUCGGAAGGAGUUGAUAAUAACCCAGACGGUGUUAGGAAUUUUCAAACAGCUGGACGACUAUAAAGCUGUGCUGAAUGUAGAUACCAACGAGCUGCUGGUGAUUUUAGCUAACGCUAAACUCUAUACCACGGCCUUCAAGCUGGCCAACAUGUUGGGCAAAAGCCUCACUAUGAUCUAUGAAAGCCUGGCAGCGUCCUGCGCUAUGGCGCUUUGCAGGAAACUGGGGGCAAUUUUGAUUGGCUGCAUGAAAUCGCACUGGAAGAAUCUGUUCUAAGCUCAGAUAGCACCGAAACGGCUUGGAAUUUUUGAAAGUUAAGUCUCAAGAAUGAAACGAAGGACAUCGAAGCCUGCUAUCUCGCCGUGAUGAAUCAAAUCAUUUCCAAAAACGGUAUUCCACCUCAAAGGUUGACGAACUUUUGUAUGAACAAGGCGCCCACCAAACUAUUACAGCUUUACGUUAACUUUGGCCGCCUAGAGGAAGCCUUCGAAAUCUCCGUCAAACUGAUCCAGGCGCAGCUGCAGCAGAAGCUCGAUCACGACGUUACACAUCAAUCGAUUCUCAUUUCCGAUUACGCUCAUCGAUCGGUUGCAGUUUGAGUUGAGUAAAGAUGCUGAAUUCAAGCAACAAACAAAUUUACUGAACCAGCUAUCGACUGUAUUGCUAAAUUUCGUGUCCAUUCCCCAAUGAUAAUGCUGAUAAUUUCGUAAAUUCGAACGAUAGUUUUAUUAAAAAAACGCCUUCAAUAAUUG